AGAAUGCAGUGCAAAACAAUAGAUGGAAAGAAUGAACAAAAUGUUAUGAGACAUGAAUGACAGCUGUAAAAGUUCCACUAUCUGCUUAAUAUGAAUUACAGGAGAGAAGAAAAUUAAGGAAGGAGAGUGCCUAAAACAAGGCAAAAAUUUAAGACAAUUUCUUAGAAAUUGGAAAUACUCAUAUUGAGAGGAACCAGUGAAUAUUUACAGGAAGAAUGUAAAAAGACUGACAUGGUUCUGUGCAUGAUCCUGCAUCCGUAAAACUGAGAAACCAACAGAAUGAGGACAGAAUGAAAAAAGAAAAAAACUUUCAGAAUGUUCUUCCUUUCCUCAAUGCCAUACAGUUUGUGCAGUCAGCUGAUUGGCUGAAAAGAGUCAGUUUUGACGACUGAUGCUUCCUGCUCAUGUUUAGUUGGUUUAGGAAGCUCAUUAGGAUGCUAUCUCGGAGAUGAGUCUGGUGGGUAGAAUAUCUGAUGACUCUAAGGCAAAUGUACUUCCUUCAGCUGGUGAAUUAAUUUCUCAAUAGACUCAAUUUGCUUUUUACUGUCUGGCAAUAUCCCAUAUUUGCAAUGGCCUUUCAAACACUUGCAAUAAAAUGUGGCUCACACAUACAACCUGUUAGCGGUGAAAGAGAAACAUUCAUCACAUUCAAAAUUCUCCAAACAUGAGAGCAGCUGAAUGUGCUUUAAGACAGUAUACCUAAUGAUACAUCUCUAUUUUCCCCUUCCUCUUACAAUCAUUUACACAGAUAUAUGAGAGGUAAAUAUGUGUUUAGAAAGUAUUAGUCAUCAUAGAUGUACCUCCAGUCAUCCAUUCAAAUGUAAACAUGGUAAAAUAUGCACUUGUACAAUUUUAUACUAUCAAUGAGUAUAGGUAGGUGAAAAUUAGUGUUGCCAGAAAAAAUUCAAACCAGAAAACUGAAAGUAUAGAAAAAUACUUUUUAUUUUGUCAUUGAAAAACCAUUUUAAAAUAAUAUAUCGUGUAGAAUAAAAAAUUCCAUGAAUAUAUACAUGUAAAUUAUACAUAUAUGUGAAUUUAAUUUUGUUAAAAGGUAAUUGGCAUCUGCAAUUUCAUGCAGUCUAAGUGAAACCCAUAAAGAAAUGUGUAUGAAAUAGGAAAGCAACAAAAGCUCAUAACAUUUUAAAAUUAGAAAUCAGAUUCAAAACCCAUCAUGAUCUAUUUUAAAUUUAUCUCUAUAACAUUUCAAUUGAGACAUAAAACACACUUUAUACAACAUGCCUCACUAUUUUAUUAACAGCAUGACUUCCCUUUCCCCAAUCCCCAAACCAUGUUCCCAUCUACACCCCACCCCACCCAAAUCUCACCUCUUCCAUUAGCAUUAUUACAAACAUAUUUUACAAAUCUUAUACCAAGCUUUUCCACUGUCUCUUUUCAAUGUAGAAAUAUCUUAUAUAUAAACCCAAAUACCACAAAUCUUCACAUUUAUAUUUUCUAAAGCAGUUAAACCUUUAUAGACAAUUCUACCUAAAAAGCCAAAUGUGCUUGACAAUAUGUCAUGUUAUGUUAAGUUGACCAGACACAGAAGUCAUUUCUGUCGGAUUUCUUGUCGAUGUUUGCAUUAAGUUGGAGCUUUCUGAUCUCGGCUCUUCUUGUGCCAGUAAUUUGAAAGGUCACCUCUCUGUUGGCCUUUGGUUUAUGCAAUGCAGUCUGGCAUUGCAUAAUUAAAAGUCUCGGCCGGGCACGGUGGCUCACGCCUGUAAUCCCAGCACUUUCGGAGGCCGAGGCGGGCGGAUCCCAAGGUCAGGAGAUCCAGACCAUCCUGGCUAACACGGUGAAACCCAGUCUGCACUAAAAAUACAAAAAAAUUAGCUGGAUGUGGUGGUGGGCGCCAGUAGUUCCAGCUACUCGCGAGGCAGAGGCAGGAGAAUGGCGUGAACCCGGGAGGGGGAGCUUGCGGUGAGCCAAGAUCGCGCCAUUGCACUCCAGCCUGGGCUACAGAGUGAGACUCCGUCUCAAAAAAAAGAAAGAAAAAAAAAGUCUUGUGAAUUUGUACAUAGAAUAUUGAAGUUAGAAGAGGCUUAUCACUCUCUGGGCUCUAAUACUGCCCAGAGGUUAUUUGUUUCUUGUUUCCAUAAGAAAAUCCUAUGUCUCUCCAUUAGCAUUCCUGAUCCUUACCUCCAAUUCAAAAUGUGGCCAGUUCCACCUUCUAAGCCUUUAUACCAAAUUGACUGGGUAGGUUUAUUAUGAAUCUGUGUUCUUGUCCAAACUCUACAUUAGACCUCGCAGGAGAGUUCAAACUAAAAACUAAUGAGUAAGUGCAAUAUUACAAUUGAAACGGGAGCAAACAUAAUUUCAAGUAGGACACAUAAAAACUGUGGGACCAAAAGAGGAAGAGUGCACGCCAAAUGUUCUCAAUUCUGAAAUGGCUCUUGUGAAAUAUCUAUGUGAAAACACUUCAAGGACCUGAAAAAAAAAAAAUGGUGAAAAAGCGAACAACCUUCCUUGCAAAACAACUCCAGAGUUAAUGCCAGAGCUUUCUAUCAAAACAUCCAUGUUAAGUUCGCCGGAAAGAUUCAGAAGAUCAAUGACAGGAGUAAGGGAAAAAACAAGGACAUUUUGUGAGUAGGAACGUAUAAUGACCCUGCAGCAGGAGAACGAGAGAGGGGGAAGAAGGAAAUGGAGGGUGUAAGUGAAUUAAUUGACUGUAACAUGUUUAAUGAAAUAAGUAGACGUGUGAUGCAAAUUUCUUAAUAGUCAAACGUUAUGCAACAUAUGAUGCAUAAGAAUUGUACUAUCUCAAAUUUUUUUUAAUGUGAGAUUCUCUUGAUGCCACUUUCAUUUACCUACACACACACAAAUAGCACAAAUCACAUAUACAUAUACUGACACGAAAAUAUAUAUGUGGGAGGGAGAGAAAGAGGGAGGAUAACUUUAAUCAUGAUACACUGCCAAUAUAAGAACUCCCUUUUGGCCAGGCGCGAUGGCUCACACCUGUAAUCCCAGCACGUUGGGAGGCUGAGGAGGGCGGAUCACGAGGUCAGGAGAUGGAGACCAUCCUGGCUAACACGGUGAAACCCCGUCUCUACUAAAAACACAAAAAAAAUUAGCCGGGCGUGGUGGCGGGCGCCCGUAGUCCCAGCUACUCAGGAGGCUGAGGCAGGAGAAUGGCAUGGACCCCGGAGGUGGAGCUUGCGGUGAGCCGAGAUCGUGCCACUGCACUCCAGCCUGGGCGACAGAGCGAGACUCCGUCCCCCUCAAAAAAGAAAAAAAAAAAAAAAACUCCCUUUUUAGAAAGAUCUUUUAUUCAACUUACCAAAAUUUUAAUUGCCAAUGGAACAGAAACCAGCACAAAUAAGAACUUGUAACUUACCCAGGUACAAGUGAAUUUCAAUGACUGAAAUUCAGGGGCAUUCUAAGCAAGAAUAGUUCAAUAGUAACUAAUCUCAUUAUUUUUCAUUUUUAUUAAGUCAUAUUUAUUAUUCAUAGUGUGAUUUCUCAUCAAGGAGUUAUUUAACAUGCCAAAAGCCUGCAUCUCUUUAACUAGGUCUUUAUGCAUAGGGAAUGUUUAAGUAUCCACAAAAGUAAUACAUACUAACCAAUUUUUUAGAGUUUAACAUAUAUAUUUGAAGAUAUGUUUUCCCCAAAUGUACAGUUCUUUGUGGCCUGGAUUGCCUCAGGAAACUGCCUCUGCCUGUUGUGGGUAUCAUGGCAAGUAAGGGCACUGGUAAUUUACUGCUGAGAAAAUGCCUAGCCGUUUGCCUAAUUAUGCCAUGUCAUCUUCCUCACACUACAGAGCACGGUAACCUCAUUUCCAAAAUCAAAGACAGAACAAAUCUGAACAGCUACUGUUCCUGAGGCAAACAAGUGAAUAAAUUCCAAAACAUGCCAUGGACUCACCGACGAUGAAUUUUAGACAAUUCUUUUUUUUUUUUUGGGACUACAGGCGCCCACCACCACUCCCGGCUAAUUUUUUUGUAUUUUUAGUAGAGACGAGGUUUCACAAUGUUAGCCAGGAUGGUCUCGAUCUCCUGACAUUGUGAUCUGCCGCCUCAGCCUCCCAAAGUGCUGGGAGUACAGGCGUGAACCACCGCGCCUGGCUGGAUUUUAGACAAUUCUACAUCGUCUGUUGAAUCUAUCGUCUGUUGAAUCAGCUUUCUAUUAACCACACACUAUAGAAGUGAAACGAACCUGUACUACCAAGAGUGUAUUAAUUUUGCAUGCAUUUCCUAGUAAACAAUGUAGACAGUAUUAAUUUUUAUGUUGCCAAGGUAAUAGUUUUGUCCCUCAACUCAUAUGCUAAAUUUUGCCUCACCUGGCUCAGUCAGAAGGAACAGAAUUGACAAUAUUAACUAGUCUCAGUUAUCUCCACUGACAGAAAAAAAAACGUGUUAUUUUCUACACGGACUGUGGGAAUCAGCAUUUUCUGUUAUUAACUUAAGAUUUUUUUUCUUGCCAUUUCUCUUUAUGAUCCCAAUGUAUUGAUGUAUUUCUAACACUACAACAAGAUUUGUGUCACUCAACUGUGUGUUGUAAUCAUUGUCUUUUAACCAUUUAUAUCCAUGAAACUGAUGUCAUUGAAAGAUAGAAAACAGAAACAAAAAGCAUAGAAGGGAGAGAGGGAGGAAGACUUUAGUCAUGAUACAAUGCCAAUGUAAGGACUCCUUUUAAGAAAGAUUUUAAAAAAUUUCUUCAUCAAAAUUUCCAUUGCCUCCUUGAAUGAACUGUGAAGGAUUGCAAAUUCCUUUAAAACUUGGUUUUGGCAACGAAUCUGGAUUUCCUUCAUUAGCCAGGUAUACAGAAUUCAUUUUCCAAUGCUCUAUUAAAAAUAAGAGGCUGGGCACGGUGGCUCACGCCUGUAAUCCCAGCACUUUGGGAGGCUGAGGCGGGUGGAUCACAAGGUCAGGAGAUGGAGACCAUCCUGGCUAACACGGUGAAACCCCGUCUCUACUAAAAAUACAAAAAAUUAGCCGGGUGUGGUGGCGGGCACCUGUAGUCCCAGCUACUCAGGAGGCUGAGGCAGGAGAAUGGCGUGAACCCAGGAGGCGGAGCUUGCAGUGAGCCGAGACUGCGCCACUGCACUCCAGCCUGGGCGACAGAGUGAGACUCCAUCUAAAAAAAAAUAAAAUAAAAUAAAAUAAAUAAAAAAGGGAAGAUUCCCUUAAUGUUUCCCAGUCUAUUAAAGGUUUCCUUCCAAAAGGAGCUCAUUCUGAUCCCAUUUAGUACAACACCCUCGUGUAUGCCAGAUGGCACAGGCAUCAUAGCUUCACAAAUGUCAUUCUGAUUCUCACCUUUAAAAUGAAAUUCCCUUAGUCUACCUUUCUUUACAUAAACUACAAAAUUGUAGACAAAGACAUGCCAAAUUAAAAGCCUCUUUUGCUAAAUAUUCUAGAAAUAAUUUGAGAAAAAUGGGCGCAAUUUGAGACCUUAGUUGUCUUGGAAAGGGAGUAGGUGGGUAUUUGACUAUGAUUCUGGUUGGUAUUUCUCCUGUUAACUAUUUAAAUGUGUGACCUUAAAAGAAAAUCAUUCAGUCUUGUUGAGACUAAUAAAUGUCUCACCCAAAAAAAAUGAACUUAAAAUUUCUCCUAUGUGUCUUAUAGCUCAAAAAUUUUCAAUUCUGUUUCAAGCCAUUCUAACAUCCUGGAUAUUUUCCUGGAUAUUAUAAUAUCCAGCUUAUAAUCUGCAUAGGUAAAGUUUUAUUUGUAUUAUGUUCCUUAGGUUUUGUUAAGUUUCUUGCAAGUAGGUUGAUAUUCUUUAAUGUUUAAGUAUUAAAUCUGAGGUGAGCUGAAUAGUUACCUGUUAUUGUUUUGUGUACUCAAUAAUUUACAGUAAAAUAUAUUUAGAAUUGUUAUAGUUGGUUAUUAGAAAUAGAGUUUCUACCUAUUGUGGUUUUUAAAGUACCUGUGGUCCAGGGGCAGUGGCUCACACCUGUAAUCCCAGGACUUUGGGAGGCCAAGGUGGGCGGAUCACUUGAGGUCGGGAGUUCAAGACCAGCCUAGCCAACAUGGCGAAACCCCGUCUCUACAAAAUAUACAAAAAUUAGCUGGGCGUGGUGGCGCGUACCUGUAAACCGAGCUACUUGGCAGGCUAAGGCACUAGAAUUGCUUCAACCUAGGAGGCGGAAGUUGUAGUGAGCCAAGAUCUUGCCUCCACACUCCAGCCUGGGUGACAGAGCAAGACUCUGUCUCAAAAAAAUAAAAAUAAAAGUGCCUGUGUAUGCAGUGG
rnacentral:lncRNA from 1 species